rnacentral:rRNA from 1 species
AAUCAACGCUGGCGGCGUGCCUAACACAUGCAAGUCGAACGCGAAAGUCCCGCAAGGGAUGAGUAGAGUGGCAAACGGGUGAGUAACGCGUGGGUGACCUGCCUUCGAGUGGGGGAUAACGUUCCGAAAGGGACGCUAAUACCGCAUGACAUCCUGCCUUUGAAGAGGUGGAGAUCAAAGCCGGGGAUCGCAAGACCUAGCGCUUGGAGAGGGGCCCGCGUCCGAUUAGCAGUUGGUGGGGUAACGGCCUACCAAGGCAUCGAUCGGUAGCCGGCCUGAGGAGGGCGGACGGCCACACUGGGACUGAGACACGGCCCAGACUCCGUACGGAGGCAGCAGUGGGGAAUUGUUCGCAA